AGUCGAGCGGAUGAAGGGAGCUUGCUCCCUGAUUCAGCGGCGGACGGGUGAGUAAUGCCUAGGAAUCUGCCUGAUAGUGGGGGACAACGUUUCGAAAGGAACGCUAAUACCGCAUACGUCCUACGGGAGAAAGCAGGGGACCUUCGGGCCUUGCGCUAUCAGAUGAGCCUAGGUCGGAUUAGCUAGUUGGUGAGGUAAUGGCUCACCAAGGCGACGAUCCGUAACUGGUCUGAGAGGAUGAUCAGUCACACUGGAACUGAGACACGGUCCAGACUCCUACGGGAGGCAGCAGUGGGGAAUAUUGGACAAUGGGCGAAAGCCUGAUCCAGCCAUGCCGCGUGUGUGAAGAAGGUCUUCGGAUUGUAAAGCACUUUAAGUUGGGAGGAAGGGCAUUAACCUAAUACGUUAGUGUUUUGACGUUACCGACAGAAUAAGCACCGGCUAACUUCGUGCCAGCAGCCGCGGUAAUACGAAGGGUGCAAGCGUUAAUCGGAAUUACUGGGCGUAAAGCGCGCGUAGGUGGUUUGUUAAGUUGGAAGUGAAAGCCCCGGGCUCAACCUGGGAACUGCUUUCAAAACUGGCAAGCUAGAGUAUGGCAGAGGGUGGUGGAAUUUCCUGUGUAGCGGUGAAAUGCGUAGAUAUAGGAAGGAACACCAGUGGCGAAGGCGACCACCUGGGCUAAUACUGACACUGAGGUGCGAAAGCGUGGGGGAGCAAACAGGAUUAGAUACCCUGGUAGUCCACGCCGUAAACGAUGUCGACUAGCCGUUGGGAUCCUUGAGAUCUUAGUGGCGCAGCUAACGCAUUAAGUCGACCGCCUGGGGAGUACGGCCGCAAGGUUAAAACUCAAAUGAAUUGACGGGGGCCCGCACAAGCGGUGGAGCAUGUGGUUUAAUUCGAAGCAACGCGAAGAACCUUACCAGGCCUUGACAUGCAGAGAACUUUCCAGAGAUGGAUUGGUGCCUUCGGGAACUCUGACACAGGUGCUGCAUGGCUGUCGUCAGCUCGUGUCGUGAGAUGUUGGGUUAAGUCCCGUAACGAGCGCAACCCUUGUCCUUAGUUACCAGCACGUCAUGGUGGGCACUCUAAGGAGACUGCCGGUGACAAACCGGAGGAAGGUGGGGAUGACGUCAAGUCAUCAUGGCCCUUACGGCCUGGGCUACACACGUGCUACAAUGGUCGGUACAAAGGGUUGCCAAGCCGCGAGGUGGAGCUAAUCCCAUAAAACCGAUCGUAGUCCGGAUCGCAGUCUGCAACUCGACUGCGUGAAGUCGGAAUCGCUAGUAAUCGUGAAUCAGAAUGUCACGGUGAAUACGUUCCCGGGCCUUGUACACACCGCCCGUCACACCAUGGGAGUGGGUUGCUCCAGAAGUAGCUAGUCUAACCUUCGGGGGGACGG
rnacentral:rRNA from 1 species